AAGCAUCCUGUGCUGAUGUCCAGAACAAUGAUUUAAUCAAGUCCAUUGAUAAGAUAUCAGAUGCAUCUGACAGUGAUCUAGCAGCAAUAACAUUUGAAUCAGAGUUUAUUCAGAUUAUGUGUGAGGCUGGGGAAACUAGAGUUGUUACUCCUGAGAAUAAGCUUGAUGUACUCCAGUCACUCAUGCCUCAUGACAUUCUUGUAAAAAGAAAGUCUAUCCUUGAUCAGUUAAGAAAAGGUCUCUCCACCCUUGGCAUUUUGGCAGAGACUGAAUAUAAUCCAUCAUUAUUUGAAGAAUUUUUUUUA